GACGAACCGUGCGGACGUUAUUCGGAAUCACUGGGCUUAAAGCGCGUGUAGGCGGGAGGGCACGUCCGUCGCUGAAAUCCCCCGGCUCAACCGGGGAACGGGCGCGGAUACGACCUUCCUGGAGGGGCGUAGGGGGACCUGGAACUUCCGGUGGAGCGGUGAAAUGCGUUGAGAUCGGAAGGAACGCCCGUGGCGAAAGCGAGGUCCUGGACGCCUACUGACGCUGAGACGCGAAAGCCAGGGGAGCAAACGGG
rnacentral:rRNA from 1 species